rnacentral:rRNA from 1 species
CCCCGUAAAAUCUAUUCUCAUUGUAAGGUACUUUCGAAGAGUCGAGUUGUUUGGGAAUGCAGCUCUAAGUGGGAGGUAAAUUCCUUCUAAAGCUAAAUAUUGACGAGAGACCGAUAGCGAACAAGUACUGUGAAGGAAAGAUGAAAAGCACUUUGAAAAGAGAGUGAAAAAGUACGUGAAAUUGUUAAAAGGGAAGGGUAUUGAAUCAGACGUGGUGCUGUUGUUCAACUUUGUUUCGGCAUGGUGUACUCAGCAGUACUAGGCCAAGGUGGGGUGUUUGGGAGUGAAAAAGGAAUAGGAACGUAGCUCUUCGGAGUGUUAUAACCUAUUUUCAUAGCUCCUCAGGCGCCUCAGGACUGCGCUUCGGCAAGGAC